rnacentral:rRNA from 1 species
UACGAAGGGGGCUAGCGUUGCUCGGAAUCACUGGGCGUAAAGCGCACGUAGGCGGAUUGUUAAGUCAGGGGUGAAAUCCUGGAGCUCAACUCCAGAACUGCCUUUGAUACUGGCGAUCUUGAGUCCGGGAGAGGUGAGUGGAACUGCGAAGUGUAGAGGUGAAAUUCGUAGAUAUUCGCAAGAACACCAGUGGCGAAGGCGGCUCACUGGCCCGGUACUGACGCUGAGGUGCGAAAGCGUGGGGAGCGAACAGG